CCGGUUUUGUUGCCGGGCGCGGUUUUCUUUCUGCCCGUUACCGCCGCCCCACGGCCCGGCUCCCAUUCUGGUUGCUCUAUUUCGAUAAGGCCGAGGGCGAGCUCGAGCGGCGCAACAAAGGAGGCGCUUCGUCCCCGGCCAUGGCGUUUUUGAGAUCUUCCACCGCUCGAUCUUGUUUUCGGUUCCCUUACUCUUCAAUCCCCGGUGUCGCGGUUUGUUGUUCCUCUCUUUCGCUCUCUCCCGUGUGCUUUUGGUUGCGUCUGGUUCCAGAUCUAGGUGAGUUCAUGUCGCCCUCCCGCCGCGCCCUGCUGUAGUUGUAGAUGCCUGAUUUGGUGUCUUCCCGUUGGAGAUGGAGAUGCAUGAUUUUGUUGUCUCCCCACGCCCCUGAUGUAGUUAUAGAUGCGUGAAGUUGUUGUCUCCCCGCACCCCUGAUGUAGUUGUACAUGUGCGAUUUUGUUGUCUCCCCGCUGGAGAUGGAGAUGCAUGAUUUUAUUGUCUCUCCACACCCCUGAUGUAGUGGUUGUUUGCCUUGUUUCCCCCAGUCCGAAGUUGGGGGAUUAUGUAUAUGCACCCUGUAGGUGCGCGAUUCCGCGGCUUUGUGUCCUGCUCUUUUAUGUUUUGAUGCUUCCUGCUCAUGUUUAGUUUCAUUUUUGCAGUCCCUGGUUUUACCUCCUGUUUCGUUGUUGUAAAUGCAGGUGUUUAGCUUCCUUUUCUGCCAUGUUUUUUACCCUAUGUGUUUGUCUGAUGUUGACUACAAGCAGACAUGUAAUUUGAGUCCAAUUUCAGUGUAAUUUCUCCGAGCCCAUUCAGUGUAAUUUACUGAAUAUAUCGAAUGUAAUUUGUCUGAUGUUGUCCCAGCCCAAUUCAUGUUUAGCUCUUUUUCAGUGUAUGCACAGUGUUAUUUUGAUCAUAAUUAUAGUGUAAUCCCAGUAUUUCAAUGUAAUUUGUCCUAGCCUUACAGUGUAGUUUAUCCAAUAUCUUUCCCGCUGUGUUGUUGAGUGAAUUUUACUGUGUUAUUUGAGUGUAAUCCAUCUCAUUAUUACAGUGCAGUUUGUCCUGGACUUACAGUGUACUUUCACCUAAUAUUCCAGUGUGGAAAUUACAGUGGAUUUAUAGUGUAAUUUGAAUGUAGUUGCAGUUUAAUUUGUCCCAACUUUACAGUGCAAUUUUGUCCCCAGACUUACCCUAAUUUUUCCAGUGUGUCAUAGUGCAAUUACAUAUCCCAAUUUACAGUGCAUUUUGUCCCAGACUUACUGUGUAAUUUUACCUAAUUUUUCCAGUGUGAAUUGUCAUAGUGUAAUUACAUUUGAUUUAUAGUGUAAUUUGAAUGUCAGUUGCAGUGUAAUUUUUAUCCCAAGUUUACAGUGCAAGUUUGUCCCCAGACUUACAGUGUAUUUUACCUUAUUUUUCCAGUGUGUCAUAAUGUAAUUACAGUGUAGUUUAUCCCAAUUUACAGUGCAAUUUGUCACAGACUUACAGUGUAAUUUACCUAAUUUUUCCACUGUAAAUUGUCAUAGUGUAAUUACAGUGGAUUUAUAGUGUAAUUCAAAUAUAGUUAUAGUGUAAUGUCCCAACUUUACAUUGUACUUUACCCAAUAAUCCCAGUGUGAUUUGUCAUAGGAUUUGAGUGGAUUUUUACUGUGUAAUUUAGGUCAGUUUGCACAGUAAUUUUGUCUAGAUUUUCAGUGUAAUUAAGUCCAGUUUAGCUAGUUUUCACUGUACUUUGCUUGGAUCAGUACUGUAGGGCUUUCGAAUGUUUUGUGCAGCAUAAGUUUUGUUAGCUUUUACUUUUCUAUGUAUUUUAAACAUCUUCCGGAAGUUUUAGCAACUGUAUCUCACAUUAAGUAUGAGUUCUUCCUAUGAUAGUCUCAGUAGAUCCUCUUCAGUUACUGCCCUCAUCAUGCUCCUCUCAUGACACAUUUGAAGAGAAGAAUGUCAGUGUUAGCGUAAUCAUGAGCAGCCAAGCGUUUAGAAAUAGAUGAUAGUGUUUGCAACGUCUAUCUGCUUGUUUUGUAAUUUGUAUUUUAUUUUUUGCACUGGCUUGUGCUCUCUACUUACUAGGAACUUGCAAUGUAUUUAUCUCAGUUUUUAAUUACUGUAGUUUGAAUUAUAAAAUUUCUAGUUGCUUACACUGGAAGUUCCUAGUUGAAUUCACUGGGAUUUUCUAUUUGCAGUGGGAUUGUACACUAGAAUUUCAUAGGUGCUUACACUGUAAUAAAACUUGUAAGUACAUGCAUUUAAAAAACUUGAGUACACUGAAAUUUUCAAGUUACCAAUAGUAGUAUGUACACUGGAAAUUACCAGCUAGUUACACUGCAAUUUACUGGGAUUUACAGUAGUAUUCACACUAGUUUUUACAUUGUGAUGUACACUGGCAUUUACAUGGAUUUUAAAAAUGUAAGUACACUGGAAAUUACAAGUGACCCACAGUAGUUUUUAUACUGGAAAUUACCAUCAACUUACACUGGAAUUUACUGUAACACUUGAUUUUACGUCAGGAUGUACACUGGAAUUUACAUUGGGAUUUACACUGGAAAUUCAGAAGUGCUGUAUUUCCAUGUUAAUUUACAUUGUAAAUAUUCUUGUAAGUUUUCCGAAAACUAAACUGUAUUUUCCAUUGAACAAUUUCAGCAUUUCAGUGUAAUUUCCAUGUUGAUGUCAAUGUAAUUGAUCACAAAAAUUAUGGGAUUUGCCCAGAAAUACAACUGAUGUUGAUCUAUCUCUUGUAGAUGAAGAAAAUUCCUCCUGAUUUGUUCUUGUGACAGGUGAAGAGAGAAGAUGGUGAGCAGUUGGGAUAGUUGUUGAAUUCCCUCCGAUGUUCUUCCUUCUUGUUCCUCGUCAGGUGAGAUCUGUUGAGUGGUUUGUGGGAGGGGUUUGGCCCUUUUCAUGCGUUGCAAGCUGGGCACGUACUGUGUGGUCCUGAAGAUCAAGGGAGUUGGUUCCUGAAUUUUUUGGAGUGGCUAGUUGUCCAGCGAACCGGGUCAGAUCUUUUCCCUGACCCGUUUUGGCUUCCCAUUUUGUGUUGUCGACAGGUGUCAAAUGUUCAUUUGUCAGAAAAUAUGAAUGUUGUCGAAUUGAAAAACAGUCAAAUGUCAAAUAGACAGUCCCUUCUUUUUUC